AGAGUUUGAUCCUGGCUCAGGAUGAACGCUGGCGGCGUGCUUAACACAUGCAAGUCGAACGGACUUUUGAUGAAACCUAGUGAUUCAAAAGUUAGUGGCGGACGGGUGAGUAACGCGUGGGUAACCUGCCUCGUACAGGGGGAUAACACUUAGAAAUAGGUGCUAAUACCGCAUAAGCGCACAGCUUCGCAUGAAGCAGUGUGAAAAACUCCGGUGGUACGAGAUGGACCCGCGUCUGAUUAGCUAGUUGGUGAGGUAACAGCCCACCAAGGCGACGAUCAGUAGCCGGCCUGAGAGGGUGAACGGCCACAUUGGGACUGAGACACGGCCCAAACUCCUACGGGAGGCAGCAGUGGGGAAUAUUGCACAAUGGGGGAAACCCUGAUGCAGCAACGCCGCGUGAGUGAAGAAGUAUUUCGGUAUGUAAAGCUCUAUCAGCAGGAAAGAAAAUGACGGUACCUGACUAAGAAGCCCCGGCUAACUACGUGCCAGCAGCCGCGGUAAUACGUAGGGGGCAAGCGUUAUCCGGAUUUACUGGGUGUAAAGGGAGCGUAGACGGUAUGGCAAGUCUGAAGUGAAAGCCCAGGGCUCAACCCUGGGACUGCUUUGGAAACUGUCGCACUAGAGUGCAGGAGAGGUAAGUGGAAUUCCUAGUGUAGCGGUGAAAUGCGUAGAUAUUAGGAGGAACACCAGUGGCGAAGGCGGCUUACUGGACUGUAACUGACGUUGAGGCUCGAAAGCGUGGGGAGCAACAGGAUUAGAUACCCUGGUAGUCCACGCCGUAAACGAUGAUUACUAGGUGUUGGUGGGUAUGACCCAUCGGUGCCGCAGCAAACGCAAUAAGUAAUCCACCUGGGGAGUACGUUCGCAAGAAUGAAACUCAAAGGAAUUGACGGGGACCCGCACAAGCGGUGGAGCAUGUGGUUUAAUUCGAAGCAACGCGAAGAACCUUACCUGGUCUUGACAUCCCGAUGACCGCUCUGUAAUGAGAGCUUUUCUUCGGAACAUUGGAGACAGGUGGUGCAUGGUUGUCGUCAGCUCGUGUCGUGAGAUGUUGGGUUAAGUCCCGCAACGAGCGCAACCCCUAUCUUUAGUAGCCAGCAUUUAAGGUGGGCACUCUAGAGAGACUGCCGGGGAUAACCCGGAGGAAGGUGGGGAUGACGUCAAAUCUUCAUGCCCCUUAUGACCAGGGCUACACACGUGCUACAAUGGCGUAAACAAAGGGAAGCGGAGUCGUGAGGCCGAGCAAAUCCCAAAAAUAACGUCUCAGUUCGGAUUGUAGUCUGCAACUCGACUACAUGAAGCUGGAAUCGCUAGUAAUCGCGAAUCAGAAUGUCGCGGUGAAUACGUUCCCGGGUCAUUGUACACACCGCCCGUC
rnacentral:rRNA from 1 species